ensembl:snoRNA SNORD79 Small nucleolar RNA SNORD79
UCAUGUUAGUGAUGGCUUUCAAAGUUCACACAGACGAGAAUCUCUCUGAAAGACAAUGAAGAUCAGUUUGAAACAGAAACAGUA